UACGAAGGUCCCAAGCGUUAUCCGGAUUUACUGGGCGUAAAGGGCUCGUAGGCGGCCAACUAAGUCAGACGUGAAAUCCCUCGGCUUAACCGGGGAACUGCGUCUGAUACUGGAUGGCUGGAGUUUGGGAGAGGGAUGCGGAAUUCCAGGUGUAGCGGUGAAAUGCGUAGAUAUCUGGAGGAACACCGGUGGCGAAGGCGGCAUCCUGGACCAAUACUGACGCUGAGGAGCGAAAGCCAGGGGAGCAAACGGG
rnacentral:rRNA from 1 species